UGGGGAAUAUUGGGCAAUGGGCGCAAGCCUGACCCAGCAACGCCGCGUGAAGGAAGAAGGCUUUCGGGUUGUAAACUUCUUUUAUGAGGGACGAAACAAAUGACGGUACCUCAUGAAUAAGCCACGGCUAACUACGUGCCAGCAGCCGCGGUAAUACGUAGGUGGCAAGCGUUAUCCGGAUUUACUGGGUGUAAAGGGCGUGUAGGCGGGACUGCAAGUCAGAUGUGAAAAUUAUGGGCUCAACCCAUAACCUGCAUUUGAAACUGUAGUUCUUGAGUGCUGGAGAGGCAAUCGGAAUUCCGUGUGUAGCGGUGAAAUGCGUAGAUAUACGGAGGAACACCAGUGGCGAAGGCGGAUUGCUGGACAGUAACUGACGCUGAGGCGCGAAAGCGUGGGGAGCAAACAGG
rnacentral:rRNA from 1 species